UAUCUAAAUCUGGUUAUUGUAACUGUCAUUUGUCAAUGUUAUUAUUUUUCCGGUCCUUUGGACAUCGAAUAGGAAAAGUGUGCUGAGGUUAAAACAGUUUAAAAUGGCUCGAAAGUGUAUAGUGCUGAAAUUUAAAAGCGGAUAUGAAAGUAAUAAAGAACGAAUAUCCUUUUUUCAUGGGAAAAAAAAGAUGAAGAACUGAAAAAGAAAUGGAUUGACAUAAUUCCAAACACCAUUUAGUUUGCGAGAAACAUUUUCGAGAAACCGAUAUAAUUCGACACUUUAUCCAUAAAGAUGCUGCAGGAAAGGUUAUAACAAAGAUAUCAUAUCAAUUUCCAAGACUCAUCAAUGAAGCGGUUCUCUCUGUUUUCUCUAAUAUCAAAGGCUGUUCCAACAUCAUACAGAGUUGAGAAGUACAUGAGUACAAGUACAUUGAGUAUCGAGAACCUGAGCAGUACUCUAUUAUAACUGACAUGACAACUCCAAAUAGUAACCUGGAUGGAAAUGCCCCCGAAUCUAUGAUCGUUGGCAACCAGAUAUUGAAGAUAACUCAUGAUUAUCAAACUGAGUAUGAAAAUGGAACUUUUAUAAAUGAGACAAAAGUUCUACUGGAUAACAAAUUAAAUCAGAUUAUUUAAAAAUGCGUACGCAUCCAUUUUUUCAACAAAUCACGAAUGCUGAACACUAAACAAAAGGUGUUGCAAAGAGGAAACAAGCCACAUUUUAUAAACAUUAAAUAACGAAUAAAACAUUGUUAUAUAUAUUUCAGGAA